GUAGUUGAGGCUGGCCUCGAACUCACAGCGAUCCUCCAGCCUCAGCCUCCCAAAUGCUGGGAUUACGGGCAUGCGCUACUAUGCUGUUGUAAAGCUAUGCGUCCAUGCCAUGAAGCAGGACAUGGAAGCUCUGGGUGCAGGCUUGGAGGCAGCAUCCUCUCCACUCGCAGAUGGAAAGGGAUGCGGGGAAGGCACGUGACCGGCGGGAAGGCACGUGACCGGCGCGAGGGCACCUGCUGCGUCUGCAGCCCAGCCACUGCUGUUCGAAGUCAGCACAGUGAGACGCCAGCGACACCUUUAAUGAGCACAGCUCGAUGCUCGGUUGAAAGCAGGCGAAGCCUGGCGCUGGGGCCAAGGACGAGGACGAGGCUGGCAAAAGCAGAGCCGCGGCAAGUGGCUGGACUCGGGGCUGGAUAUCCUUGCGGAGGACAGAGCUGGAGAAGUGGGCCCUGCACCCCUCUGCUGCUCCCGACGGUGAGAUCCCCACGUCGGGGCGCCGGGGCUCCUGGUACGAGGGCGGCUGGGCUCCCUGGCCUCCCUCCCAGCCUCUGGCAGCCCUCCCCGCCCUCCCAUUGCCCUCACUUCCUUCUCUCCAGGGCUUGAGGCUUCAAAUGCUACAGGGCGGCAGCUCUGUCUUUCAUCUCUGGCUGAGCCUCUCUCCCGGCCGCGUCUGCCCAGCCCAGGGAUUGUAGGGCAGAUUCCCAGAGACCGGAGCAAUUUCUAGAGAAAAUGCAUGGGCUCCAUCGCAAGGGUGCCGAGUUUUUCUUUUGCUGGCGAAGAAUGUGAACAGAACGACACAAACCCACAGCGUGGGAAAUCCCUCCAUCGACUUCAUGCGAUACAUCACAGCUCAAAUCCCCACGAAGGGAUGGACGUCCUCGUAGAAGGAAGGGACAAUCUGCCCCUGAAGAGAAUGUCUACGUCCUCACCCUGUCUCAGCCUAGCGCCAGGCCUUGGUUCCUGGAGGACGACGGGGACAUCCGGUCCAGGGCACUGUAGAGGUCAGGACCUGGCAAAUAUUUUAAACAAACCGAGGAAUUUCACGCAUCUUGAGACAGCCCUCUGUGGGGCUCAGGGCCCCGCCUCAGGCCUCAAGACUGAUGUUUCCACUCUACCUUGCACUGGGCUACAAACGACAGAAAACCCCAAACAGCAAACAGGAAGUGCCUUUCGCCAAGUGCUCCAUGUCAGGAGAGCUUUGGCAGCCUUGGUACAAGAGUUCCUGAGCACACAGUCACCCCGACUUCACGCUCCACAAGUCUGAGCUUUUGUCCUCAUAGUGCUACGGUGGCUGCCCCCAUGUUGUCAUUACAUCCAUGUUCCAGGCAGAAAGAAAGAGUGGGGUCCGCGUUCUCAGAGGGGGUCACUGUCUCUGGAGGUCCCCAUGCCCAGCGUGCAGUGUUGGCGCCCCAGGGAUGAAGCCUGGUGUAGCUUUGCCUCGAAGACUCGCUGACCGGGACGGCACCACCGCACCAUGAACGCCGCCUUCUCGGGUCUGAGCCUCAGGGAGCGGAAGUGGGUGUGUUUCUAGGUCAGUUGGGCCCUUGAGUAUGGUUUCCCCCGCAUCAUUUUGCAUGCUGUGCUGGGUUAACUAAUGGACAGCUUGGAACGCCCAGCUGAACUGAGUCAGCAUGAUUUUGAGCGUGGAGGGCCCACCCGGGGAUCGCUGCCAACAGCAUAAAAGAACUGGAGGGGAAGAUGGUGCUGUGGAUUCUCCUGGAGAAGCUUGAAGCGCUGG